AGCACGGUAAGUUUUGAGUUGCGUCCUUGGUAAGGAUGAGAGCCCGGGUUCAAAUCCCGGCCUAGGCU
rnacentral:tRNA from 1 species